GCAGCCGGUAGUCUAGUGGCUAAGAUGCAUGACUGGAAGCUCUGAGGUUGGUGGUUCAAGCCCCAGUCCUGGGCA